rnacentral:rRNA from 1 species
CGCCUCGGGCGAUCCGAGGUCGGGCCUGCCCGGUGAGUUAUUUAACGGCUGCCGUAAUUGGUGCAAAGGUAGCAAAAUCUAUAGCCCCCUAAUUAGGGGCGUGUGAAUGGUCUGACGUGGGGCCGACUGUCUCGUUUGGGGUCAAUGAAAUUUACCUCUAGGUGAAAAGGCCUAGAUCCGAAGGCUGGACGAGAAGACCCUGGGAGCUUUACCGGAAGGUUUGGUUGGGGCAACCCGGGACACCCGUAUAGCCGGCAGGCGACCCCCCUUGGGGGGGAACAGGCAAAGCUACCCCAGGGAUAACAGCGCUAUCCCUUUUGAGAGUUCACAUCGACGAAGGGGCUUGCGACCUCGAUGUUGAAUUAGGGUACCUCGGGGGCGUAGAGGCUCCCGGAGUUGGUCUGUUCGACCAUUAAAACCCUACA